rnacentral:rRNA from 1 species
AUUGAACGCUGGCGGCAUGCUUUACACAUGCAAGUCGAACGGUAACAGGGAGCUUGCUCCGCUGACGAGUGGCGAACGGGUGAGUAAUGCGUCGGAACGUGCCGAGCAGUGGGGGAUAACGCAUCGAAAGGUGUGCUAAUACCGCAUACGUACUGAGGUAGAAAGUGGGGGACCUUCGGGCCUCACGCUAUUCGAGCGGCCGACGUCUGAUUAGCUAGUUGGUGAGGUAAAGGCUCACCAAGGCGACGAUCAGUAGCGGGUCUGAGAGGAUGAUCCGCCACACUGGGACUGAGACACGGCCCAGACUCCUACGGGAGGCAGCAGUGGGGAAUUUUGGACAAUGGGCGCAAGCCUGAUCCAGCCAUGCCGCGUGUCUGAAGAAGGCCUUCGGGUUGUAAAGGACUUUUGUCCGGGAGCAAAUGCCUGGUGUUAAUAGCACUGGGAGCUGAGAGUACCGGAAGAAUAAGCACCGGCUAACUACGUGCCAGCCGCCGCCGUAACAC